rnacentral:rRNA from 1 species
AUUGAACGCUGGCGGCAGGCCUAACACAUGCAAGUCGAACGAGUGGCGGACGGGUGAGUAAUGUAUGGGAAACUGCCUGAUGGAGGGGGAUAACUACUGGAAACGGUAGAUACUACCGCAAACCCUCAGAUUUGCCCAGAUGGGAUUAGCUAGUUGGUGGGGUAAAGGCUCACGAAGGCGCCGGACCCUAGCUGGGCUGAGAGGAAGACCAGCAACACUGGAACUGAGACAAGGUCCAGACUCCUACGGGAGGCAGCAGUGGGUAAUAUUGGACAAUGGGCGAAAGCCUGAUGCAGCCAUGCCGCGUGUGUGAAGAAGGUCUUCGGAUUGUAAAGCACUUUAAGUUGGGAGGCGUUACCAACAGAAUAAGCACCGGCUAACUUCGUGCCAGCAGCCGCGGUAAUAC